GAUGAAGAACGUAGCGAAAUGCGAUACGUAAUGUGAAUUGCAAAUUCAGUGAAUCAUCGAGUCUUUGAACGCACAUUGCGCCCCCUGGUAUUCCGGGGGGCAUGCCUGUCCGAGCGUCAUUGCUGCCCUCAAGCACGGCUUGUGUGUUGGGCCCCGUCCUCCGAUCCCGGGGGACGGGCCCGAAAGGCAGCGGCGGCACCGCGUCCGGUCCUCGAGCGUAUGGGGCUUGUCACCCGCUCUGUAGGCCCGGCCGGCGCUUGCCGAUCAACCCAAAUUUUUAUCCAGGUUGACCUCGGAUCAGGUAGGGAUACCCGCUGAACUUAAGCAUAUCAAUAAGCGGAGGA
rnacentral:misc_RNA from 1 species